rnacentral:tRNA from 1 species
GGGGGUGUGGCUUGGUGGUAAAGUACUUGCCUAGCAAGUGUGAGGCCCUGGGUUCCAUCUCCAGCAUCACCA